UCCUACCCCGGCGUCAGUAAGUGAAGAAAAUCCAAAUGUUAAUGGGGAAACUGUUCAGGCAGAGACUACAAGUGAUCCAGCCCCUCCUGAGGCCCCAUCACCGGUAGCAGAGGUUUUAGAGACCAAUACUCCAAAUCCAACUACAGUACCUGCAAGUGGUGACCCUUUCCUAUGAUUGGAAUACCUGCAAGUGGUGACCCUUUCCUAUGAUUGGAAUACCUCCCGCACUGUUGAAGUAAAUGAAUUUAUUUACAAUUCAAGAUUUGUUUACGUUUGUAAAGAAAUUAUUUUAGAUAUAAAGGAAAUCUAGUAUUAGUUUGUAACAAAUGUAUAAUUUGGUGGUACAAUUGUACCUAGCAUAUGUCUUUC
rnacentral:lncRNA from 1 species